AGCGUACACGGUGGAUGCCCUGGCAGUCAGAGGCGAUGAAGGACGUGCUAAUCUGCGAUAAGCGUCGGUAAGGUGAUAUGAACCGUUAUAACCGGCGAUUUCCGAAUGGGGAAACCCAGUGUGAUUCGUCACACUAUCAUUAACUGAAUCCAUAGGUUAAUGAGGCGAACCGGGGGAACUGAAACAUCUAAGUACCCCGAGGAAAAGAAAUCAACCGAGAUUCCCCCAGUAGCGGCGAGCGAACGGGGAGGAGCCCAGAGCCUGAAUCAGUGUGUGUGUUAGUGGAAGCGUCUGGAAAGGCGCGCGAUACAGGGUGACAGCCCCGUACACAAAAAUGCACAUACUGUGAGCUCGAUGAGUAGGGCGGGACACGUGGUAUCCUGUCUGAAUAUGGGGGGACCAUCCUCCAAGGCUAAAUACUCCUGACUGACCGAUAGUGAACCAGUACCGUGAGGGAAAGGCGAAAAGAACCCCGGCGAGGGGAGUGAAAAAGAACCUGAAACCGUGUACGUACAAGCAGUGGGAGCACGCUUAGGCGUGUGACUGCGUACCUUUUGUAUAAUGGGUCAGCGACUUAUAUUCUGUAGCAAGGUUAACCGAAUAGGGGAGCCGAAGGGAAACCGAGUCUUAACUGGGCGUUAAGUUGCAGGGUAUAGACCCGAAACCCGGUGAUCUAGCCAUGGGCAGGUUGAAGGUUGGGUAACACUAACUGGAGGACCGAACCGACUAAUGUUGAAAAAUUAGCGGAUGACUUGUGGCUGGGGGUGAAAGGCCAAUCAAACCGGGAGAUAGCUGGUUCUCCCCGAAAGCUAUUUAGGUAGCGCCUCGUGAAUUCAUCUCCGGGGGUAGAGCACUGUUUCGGCAAGGGGGUCAUCCCGACUUACCAACCCGAUGCAAACUGCGAAUACCGGAGAAUGUUAUCACGGGAGACACACGGCGGGUGCUAACGUCCGUCGUGAAGAGGGAAACAACCCAGACCGCCAGCUAAGGUCCCAAAGUCAUGGUUAAGUGGGAAACGAUGUGGGAAGGCCCAGACAGCCAGGAUGUUGGCUUAGAAGCAGCCAUCAUUUAAAGAAAGCGUAAUAGCUCACUGGUCGAGUCGGCCUGCGCGGAAGAUGUAACGGGGCUAAACCAUGCACCGAAGCUGCGGCAGCGACGCUUAUGCGUUGUUGGGUAGGGGAGCGUUCUGUAAGCCUGUGAAGGUGUGCUGUGAGGCAUGCUGGAGGUAUCAGAAGUGCGAAUGCUGACAUAAGUAACGAUAAAGCGGGUGAAAAGCCCGCUCGCCGGAAGACCAAGGGUUCCUGUCCAACGUUAAUCGGGGCAGGGUGAGUCGACCCCUAAGGCGAGGCCGAAAGGCGUAGUCGAUGGGAAACAGGUUAAUAUUCCUGUACUUGGUGUUACUGCGAAGGGGGGACGGAGAAGGCUAUGUUGGCCGGGCGACGGUUGUCCCGGUUUAAGCGUGUAGGCUGGUUUUCCAGGCAAAUCCGGAAAAUCAAGGCUGAGGCGUGAUGACGAGGCACUACGGUGCUGAAGCAACAAAUGCCCUGCUUCCAGGAAAAGCCUCUAAGCAUCAGGUAACAUCAAAUCGUACCCCAAACCGACACAGGUGGUCAGGUAGAGAAUACCAAGGCGCUUGAGAGAACUCGGGUGAAGGAACUAGGCAAAAUGGUGCCGUAACUUCGGGAGAAGGCACGCUGAUAUGUAGGUGAAGCGACUUGCUCGUGGAGCUGAAAUCAGUCGAAGAUACCAGCUGGCUGCAACUGUUUAUUAAAAACACAGCACUGUGCAAACACGAAAGUGGACGUAUACGGUGUGACGCCUGCCCGGUGCCGGAAGGUUAAUUGAUGGGGUCAGCGCAAGCGAAGCUCUUGAUCGAAGCCCCGGUAAACGGCGGCCGUAACUAUAACGGUCCUAAGGUAGCGAAAUUCCUUGUCGGGUAAGUUCCGACCUGCACGAAUGGCGUAAUGAUGGCCAGGCUGUCUCCACCCGAGACUCAGUGAAAUUGAACUCGCUGUGAAGAUGCAGUGUACCCGCGGCAAGACGGAAAGACCCCGUGAACCUUUACUAUAGCUUGACACUGAACAUUGAGCCUUGAUGUGUAGGAUAGGUGGGAGGCUUUGAAGUGUGGACGCCAGUCUGCAUGGAGCCGACCUUGAAAUACCACCCUUUAAUGUUUGAUGUUCUAACGUGGACCCGUGAUCCGGGUUGCGGACAGUGUCUGGUGGGUAGUUUGACUGGGGCGGUCUCCUCCUAAAGAGUAACGGAGGAGCACGAAGGUUGGCUAAUCCUGGUCGGACAUCAGGAGGUUAGUGCAAUGGCAUAAGCCAGCUUGACUGCGAGCGUGACGGCGCGAGCAGGUGCGAAAGCAGGUCAUAGUGAUCCGGUGGUUCUGAAUGGAAGGGCCAUCGCUCAACGGAUAAAAGGUACUCCGGGGAUAACAGGCUGAUACCGCCCAAGAGUUCAUAUCGACGGCGGUGUUUGGCACCUCGAUGUCGGCUCAUCACAUCCUGGGGCUGAAGUAGGUCCCAAGGGUAUGGCUGUUCGCCAUUUAAAGUGGUACGCGAGCUGGGUUUAGAACGUCGUGAGACAGUUCGGUCCCUAUCUGCCGUGGGCGCUGGAGAACUGAGGGGGGCUGCUCCUAGUACGAGAGGACCGGAGUGGACGCAUCACUGGUGUUCGGGUUGUCAUGCCAAUGGCACUGCCCGGUAGCUAAAUGCGGAAGAGAUAAGUGCUGAAAGCAUCUAAGCACGAAACUUGCCCCGAGAUGAGUUCU
rnacentral:rRNA from 1 species